rnacentral:rRNA from 1 species
GCCGAACCGUCCAAACGUUAUUCGGAAUCACUGGGCUUAAAGGGUGCGUAGGCGGCGCGGAAAGUUGGGUGUGAAAUCCCUCGGCUCAACCGAGGAACUGCGCCCAAAACUGCCGUGCUCGAGGGAGAUAGAGGUGAGCGGAACUUAGGGUGGAGCGGUGAAAUGCGUUGAUAUCCUAAGGAACACCGGUGGCGAAAGCGGCUCACUGGAUCUCUUCUGACGCUGAGGCACGAAAGCUAGGGUAGCGAACGGG